UUGUUUUCUAAGCGGCCGACCUAUAUUAUGUUAUUGUACAUUAUACUGUUGAUAUGUUGAACUAUUAACAGGAGUGAAACAAUAAGCUAUAAUUUGCUGAUUUUGCAACAGUAUGACAAAAAGUAUACUGUAUUAUGUUUUAGAAAGAAGGAAACUCCUCAUGUUUUAGCUCAAGAAACCUUUUACAGUGUCAGUCUAUGAAACAACCAUUGAUUAAUUUGUUUCUAUUAGGUUAUCAAACAUAGGAUAUUCACCUGCGACUUAAGUGUUGGAGGAGGUUGACGUAGUGCAGGCUACAGUUGCGUUACUUCCCUCAAUAAACUUUUGCUACGAUUGACUGUCACCUCAGUGAUAUGACUGCAACAAGGAAUGUCAAAAUGUUAGACGUUAUCAAACAUAGGAUAUUCACCUGCGACUUAAGUGUUGGAGGAGGUUGACGUAGUGCAGGCUACAGUUGCGUUACUUCCCUCAAUAAACUUUUGCUACGAUUGACUGUCACCUCAGUGAUAUGACUGCAACAAGGAAUGUCAAAAUGUUAGACGUUAUCAAACAUAGGAUAUUCACCUGCGACUUAAGUGUUGGAGGAGGUUGACGUAGUGCAGGCUACAGUUGCGUUACUUCCCUCAAUAAACUUUUGCUACGAUUGACUGUCACCUCAGUGAUAUGACUGCAACAAGGAAUGUCAAAAUGUUAGACGUACAACAUACUUACUAUUAAAUAAUUAUACUACUAUUAAUGCUAUUACUUUAAUUCAAAUGGCUCU